GGUCAAGUUAGUAAGGGCAUACGGUGGAUGCCUAGGCGCCAACAGCCGAAGAAGGACGCAGCAAGCUGCGAAAAGCCACGGGGAGCUGCAAGCAA
rnacentral:rRNA from 1 species